AAUGUUGUAAGAUCUGGUCAGGUUGUGAAGCAGGAACAGGUGGAGUCAAUUUCACUUUCACAUUAGUUUUGGUCAAACACGUCUGAUACAUUACAGACACUGAGGGAAUCAUCAUAUAAUCACCACAUAAAUAAGCUGCAGAUCAACCAUGUUGAAGACAUCGAUGGAGGUCCGUAGAUCACAGAUGUGUGAUGAGAUGCAGCGUGAGGUUCUUCAGGUUGCUCUUCUGGCUGUGAAUAUGUAUGAAGUGAACAUGGACAUUGCUAACUACAUCAAGAUGGAGUUUGACAGAAGGCAUGGGCCCUCCUGGCACUGCAUUAUAGGGGACUUUAGUGCCAGCGUGUCACCUAACACGAACACUUAUAUUAGCUUCUCUGUUGCUGGCAAAAGAAUUGUGUUCUUCAAAACUGGCUGAGGUUCAGCAACAGUUCAAACACCAUUUAUUUUAUCCACAUAAUUAA